rnacentral:lncRNA from 1 species
GCUUUGAAAGGGGCCAGUGAGAACCUACAGCUGUGGUGAAAGUCAUGGAAAAUGAUGUUGAGUGCCAAAUCCACAAGUUUUCAGUGACCAACCUAGGCAGCAGUUCUACUUGAGUCUCCAGGUAGGAGCCAAAGCAGCUGCUUUUGCG